CUGAGGGAGCAAAGCGCUGCCGGCCUGCUUGUCCCGGACAAGGCGCUGUGCUCCUCCUACAGCAAGCAGUUCACUGCAGCCUAGAUGGGUAAAGACCCUACGUCUCGGCCGUCUCCACCGCCGAGCCUUUCCCAAGCUUGCAGCGUAAAAUCCAGGCCCCGGCGAAGAUGCCCGGGGAAG
rfam:Sus scrofa isolate TJ Tabasco breed Duroc chromosome 9, whole genome shotgun sequence.